AUUGAACGCUGGCGGCAUGCCUUACACAUGCAAGUCGAACGGUAACAGGUCUUCGGAUGCUGACGAGUGGCGAACGGGUGAGUAAUACAUCGGAACGUGCCUAGUAGUGGGGGAUAACUACUCGAAAGAGUGGCUAAUACCGCAUGAGAUCUACGGAUGAAAGCAGGGGAUCGCAAGACCUUGUGCUACUAGAGCGGCCGAUGGCUGAUUAGGUAGUUGGUGGGAUAAAAGCUUACCAAGCCGACGAUCUGUAGCUGGUCUGAGAGGACGAUCAGCCACACUGGGACUGAGCCACGGCCCAGACUCCUACGGGAGGCAGCAGGUGGGAAUUUUGGACAAUAGGCGAAAGCCUGAUUCAGCAAUGCCGCGUGCAGGAUGAAGGCCUUCGGGUUGUAAACUGCUUUUGUACGGAACGAAAAGCCCUGGGUUAAUACCCUGGGGUCAUGACGGUACCGUAAGAAUAAGCACCGGCUAACUACGUGCCAGCCGCCGCGGUAAAAC
rnacentral:rRNA from 1 species